rnacentral:tRNA from 1 species
CAGGGAGACAACAAAAUGUUUAAUAUUAUUAUUUUGUCACCUUAGGUCGAUCGGUAUCUCACGUUCUUAAUUUGUUAAGAAUUUCAUUUCCUAAGUUUUUCUAGGUCACACCCAUUAUUUUUCCUGGGCCAUUAGCUCAGGUGGUUAGAGCGCACCCCUGAUAAGGGUGAGGUCCCUGGUUCAAGUCCAGGAUGGCCCAUAUCUCUAUGUUGGGGGUAUAGCUCAGUUGGUAGAGCGCCUGCUUUGCAAGCAGGAUGUCAGCGGUUCGAGUCCGCUUACCUCCACUGAUUACCACCUCUUCCAUAACUGGUAGAAAGGAAAUGUUUUGAGUUGUGAUCAUUAUUCUGAACGAAUCUAGCUUCCUAAUGAAAUCAUUAAGAUGCUGGACUCAUUGAAUUAAUUUCAUUGUUUUCAGAGAACCUUGACAACUGCAUAGAUUUUUUUAAAGACAAUAAGCAUCUUUAAUGAUGCAGAUUUAUUAUUUGUGCGAAUGCAUUAAUAACAAUUCUAUUAAGCUGAUGCUUCAAUUUUUGAAGUUAUU